rnacentral:pre_miRNA from 1 species
CACAGAGAUUCUUUAGAAAUCAGUGGGCUUCAGUGAAUUCUGCAGUGUACUUAAAUGAAGAAGCUAAA